CACCCCGUGUGUGUGUGUGUGCGUCUGUGUGUGUUCACUGCGGAGCUAUGGUUUUUUAAUCAUUGUUCACAUUGUACCUUCACUAUAUGUGCUGUUAUUACUACUUCGCCAACUAUUCGUGUACUGUUGAAAUAAUAAUGAAGAAAUGUACUGUAGUACUAUAAUAGUGUUAUUGGUUGCAGCUGUGUUGGGAGGAGCACAUACCUUUGGUUGCUCGAUGGUAAAGGAAAGCUUGUAGUGUGCGGUACUCCCAAGGUUUAAUACCAAUGCCAAGCCAUUUAAGAUACUGCAUUCCCGAUACUGUUUAAAAAGCAAGGGGAACGCGUCAUCAAGUUGUGGAUUCUGAAUGCAUUUUCGUGACGUUUGUGUUUUUGUAAAUACAGCGGCACUACCACCGAUACAGAGCUGAUCCACGCCGCAACAAGGCGAGCCCACGCAACCAGACCAGCAGAAAGCCCCCGUUGACAUGCUCGCUGUCAAGUCGGACUUUAAAGAAUCCCCGCAUCCUCUCACUCUUCCGUUUCUCUCUGCGUGAGGUGCGUGCACUCACUGCUGGACAACGGGCCGCUCAAAAGUGGCCAUGCCAGCCGACUAGCCAAAGGGAAGAAGCAUUUUCAGGUUGUGUCGGCAUACAUUAGCUAGCUAGCAAACCACACUCGGUGAUGCGAACUAAGGCGCUCAAGUUCUUCAGGCGUGGGGGAAGAGCAACUCGUGUUGGACUACAAAAUGCGUCAUGCAGCGCCAUUGUAGCCACGCCCCCAAAACGAGGAAACCUGAAACUGCGCACGUUUUCAGCAAUUACCUUUGCACAUGUAGAAAAAAAUCCCGAAUUCACUUUUCAGGGUCUUUUGAAGGCAGGACAAAAUUUGGGCAAAGAUGAUAGAAGGGUGAUUGUCGAGUGAGUCCGAACUCGCCGUGAACCCGUUGGCGGUGUCCGAAGAAGGAAAAGAGGAGGAGGAAGAAGAUGGUGUGCAGAAGUGGAAGUGAAGCGGAGGACAAAGCAACAGCCAAUCAAUAUGCAAAAGGCACACCACACACACACACACACACACGCACACACACACACACUAUAUAUAAUGACUGGAGAGUGGCACCCUCACUGAAAUCA